AUAGGAAACGAAAAUAGAGUGAGCGCGAGAAACAAAACGCUUGUGGUAGAUUAGUACCGGGUGAGGGCCUAAAUGAAACCAUUUAGUACUGGAUAGUAGCUAGCACCGGUACUAAAGGCCAUUUUGUAUCGGGCAAGGCCUUCACUCGGUACUAAACUACCCAAACCUACAAAAACCCCACCCCUCUUCUUCUCGAACACUUAGUCGCGCAGUCGUUCCCUCUCCUGAUCCCGCCACCACUUCACUGCCC
rnacentral:lncRNA from 1 species